rnacentral:tRNA from 1 species
GCGUCUAAUGGUAGCAGUAAUUGUUUUGAAAGCAAUUGACAAAGUGUUCGAUUCACUUAAGACGUU